UACGAAGGGGGCUAGCGUUGUUCGGAAUCACUGGGCGUAAAGCGCACGUAGGCGGAUUUGUAAGUCAGGGGUGAAAUCCCGGGGCUCAACCUCGGAACUGCCUUUGAUACUGCAAGUCUUGAGUUCGGGAGAGGUGAGUGGAAUUCCUCGUGUAGAGGUGAAAUUCGUAGAUAUUAGGAAGAACACCAGUGGCGAAGGCGGCUCACUGGCCCGAUACUGACGCUGUGGUGCGAAAGCGUGGGGAGCAAACAGG
rnacentral:rRNA from 1 species